CUGACGAGUGGCGGACGGGUGAGUAAUGUCUGGGAAACUGCCUGAUGGAGGGGGAUAACUACUGGAAACGGUAGCUAAUACCGCAUAACGUCGCAAGACCAAAGAGGGGGACCUUCGGGCCUCUUGCCAUCGGAUGUGCCCAGAUGGGAUUAGCUAGUAGGUGGGGUAACGGCUCACCUAGGCGACGAUCCCUAGCUGGUCUGAGAGGAUGACCAGCCACACUGGAAMUGAGACACGGUCCAGACUCCUACGGGAGGCAGCAGUGGGGAAUAUUGCACAAUGGGCGCAAGCCUGAUGCAGCCAUGCCGCGUGUAUGAAGAAGGCCUUCGGGUUGUAAAGUACUUUCAGCGGGGAGGAAGGGAGUAAAGUUAAUACCUUUGCUCAUUGACGUUACCCGCAGAAGAAGCACCGGCUAACUCCGUGCCAGCAGCCGCGGUAAUACGGAGGGUGCAAGCGUUAAUCGGAAUUACUGGGCGUAAAGCGCACGCAGGCGGUUUGUUAAGUCAGAUGUGAAAUCCCCGGGCUCAACCUGGGAACUGCAUCUGAUACUGGCAAGCUUGAGUCUCGUAGAGGGGGGUAGAAUUCCAGGUGUAGCGGUG
rnacentral:rRNA from 1 species